GUGAGUAUGAUUAACCCCAUUUGGCAUUUGAAGCCACUGAGACUGAUGAAGUAACUGGCCGGUGACAAGUGGCAGAGUCGGAAUUUGAACCCAGGACCAGCUAGCUCCAAAGACCCUGCUUUCCUGCUGCACCAGGUGCUUCCCCACUGGUUGUUUUAGCUCAGACGAGUCAUGGAACCUCUCUGGGUUUCCCCAUCUGCAAAUCAAGAAGCUAAAAGACAGGGUCAGCUCCUGCCCUAAAGAGACUAUUCAGAAGUGUCCCAGACGGCCCCAGAGGGCCAUGGGCGGGUGCAGCCCUUGGGGGUGGUGCAGCCAGUGUGGCUUGGGCCCACAGUAAGUCUGUCCCAACUGGAGAUGACUGAUUUAAGUGGCUUCCAGCAAGAGGAGAGCCAGCCCACCACAGCCUGGAGGCGAGACCUGAGCGUGUAAAGCAGGGGAUGAAGAGUCAAAGCACCAGAAGCACAGCUGUCCUGCCAGCCCCUAAGUCAGCUCCAAGGGUGAGAAAUAGGAUGCAUUUCAGCCCCGAGGAAUGAACUCCUGGGACGUAUGUCUGUCAGGCAGAGUCUGGAGCACUUCCUAGAAAUCUUGACCUGUCGCCGUCAGUGGGGAAGGCUAAUUAAAGGAAAUAAAAGGCUGGUAGCCAGGAGAUUCCAACGUGCUGAGAAAACAAAGGCAGCCAACCUGCGAACUGCGAAGUCAGCUCUCAGCUUUGCCCCUGCCCCGCUCCCUCCACCACCCACCCAAACGCUCGCUCGUUUCUUCACCGGAUUUCCAGAUUUUGCACUACCAACCUACUCUUUGUUUACCCUGAUGGAUCAGCGGAGACAACCUUUGCAUAGGAGGCUAAUGCAGUAACCGAGGCCUCCGAGGCCAGCUCCCUCAACGGCUGGAGCUGUCUCUUCUUCAUCGUGUGUCCGAUGCAGGGCCAGGCAGCUGCCCGUGGUGGUUCAGAGUAAGGACAUGGAAAUGCAAAUGAAAACUACCAGACACGUCUAUUCCUUCAUCAGAAUGACUAACACUAAAAAGACUGACCAUAGCAAGUGUUGGUGAGGAUGUGGAAUGACUAAAACACUCAUACGCUUCUGAUGGGAAUGCAAAAUGAUACAGUACAGCACGUGGGAACACACUUUGGCAGUGUAUUAGAAAGUUAAAUGUGCACUUUACCAUAUGACCCAGCCAUCCACUCCUAGGUCCUUUCAAAAGUGAAAUGAAAACAGAUAUCUACUCAAAGACUUGUACACGAAUGCUCAGAGCAGCAUUAUUCAUGUAAGCCAAAAAGUGGAAGCAACUGAAAUGUCCAUCAAUAGCUGAAUGGAUCAACAAAAUGUGGUCUGUCUAUGCAAUGGAAUUAUAUUUGGCCAUAAAAAAGGAAUGAAGUACUGAUAGAUGUUAUAACGUGUAUGAACCUUGAAAACAUUCUGCCAAGUGAAAGAAGGGAGCGAUGAAAGACCACAUAUUGUAGGACUCCAUUUAGAUGAAAUGUCCAGAAUAGGCAAAUCUAUAGAGACACAAAGUAGAUUCAUGGCUGCCCGGGGCUGGAAGGAGGAAAGAAUGAGGAAUAACCACUAAUGGGUAGGGGCGUUUUUUUUGGGGUGCUGAAAAUGUUCUCAAAUUGAUUGUGGUGAUGCUUGCACAAGUCUGUGAAUAUAUUUUUAAAAAUGCUCAGUUGUAUACUUUAAAAGAGUGAAUUGGAUGGUAUGUGAGUUAUAG
rnacentral:lncRNA from 1 species